UCCAUGAUGCUUGGAAUAAGACUCUCUCGAAUAAUGUCUUUUUGAUCAGCAGUGUCAAUAGGAUUACACAAAAUAUUCACAUCCCCAACGAGAAUGAUUUUUCGAUUUCCUUCCUUUAUCAAUCUUUCAAUUCUUUCUCGUAAGGCUUUAUAAAAGGCCCGUCGAUAUUCUAGUCUAUUUUCUCCAGAGUUUACUGGACAGUAAACACCGAUUAGGAUGAACAUCUGAAAAUCUAAUAAUAUACACCUUCCUUCACUAUCAAUCCAAUUAGCAGUUUUUCUGUCAAUGUCUUUUGGGAAAAAUCCUAUCUUUUCAUGCUCCGGUGCUUCUGAAUAUGAAUAUUUUUGUCCUCGUACUGGCAGGAUGCCAGUAAUUCCCUCUUCUGCUUUCACUGGAAUAGCAACAUCUUUUUUUACAUAAAAUCCAACCCCACUAUAGCCUUUUCUGAUCUUAGGAAAUGUAAAAUAACUGUCGAAUCCCUCAACAACUGCAUAUUGUUGAGGAAAGCUGUCUUUCUGCAUUUUCAAUUCUUGAACACAUAUUACAUCAGCCUGUAACUCUUGAAAUAUCUCUUUGUAGGAAUUUUUUUUAUUCCAUGGAAAAUAAUUGAAUGGAUUCUGUAUACCGUUCACAUUCCAACUUAGAAUUCGCAUUCUUAUAAUUUUUACGUAGAGAAAGUGUGCGAAGGUAAAGGCGACAGACUUUUGAAUUUACAAUUGUUGACAUAAGUUAAUCUGAUGGAAAAUAAAAUGCAUUUGUUUAAUUCGAGAAUGAACUUUUUCUUUUCUUUUCGACCUUCUCCCU